rnacentral:rRNA from 1 species
AGUAACGCGUGGAUAACCUGCCUCACACUGGGGGAUAACAGUUAGAAAUGACUGCUAAUACCGCAUAAGCGCACAGUACCGCAUGGUACAGUGCGAAAAACUCCGGUGGUGUGAGAUGGAUCCGCGUCUGAUUAGCCAGUUGGCGGGUAACGCCCACCAAAGCGACGAUCAGUAGCCGACCUGAGAGGGUGACCGGCCACAUUGGGACUGAGACACGGCCCAA